AUACGGAGGGGGCAAGCGUUGUUCGGAAUUAUUGGGCGUAAAGGGCGCGUAGGCGGCACUGUAAGUCGGUUGUGAAAUCCCUUGGCUCAACCAAGGAACUGCAACCGAAACUACAGAGCUAGAGUCCGGGAGAGGGUAGUGGAAUUCCCAGUGUAGCGGUGAAAUGCGUAGAUAUUGGGAGGAACACCAGUGGCGAAGGCGGCUACCUGGACCGGUACUGACGCUGAGGCGCGAAAGCUAGGGGAGCAAACAGGAUUAGAAACCCCAGUAGUCC
rnacentral:rRNA from 1 species